rnacentral:rRNA from 1 species
AAGAACGCAGCGAAAUGCGAUAAGUAGUGUGAAUUGCAGAAUUCAGUGAAUCAUCGAAUCUUUGAACGCACAUUGCGCCCCUUUGGUAUUCCAAAGGGCAUGCCUGUUCGAGCGUCAUUUGUACCCUCAAGCUUUGCUUGGUGUUGGGCGUCUUGUCUCUAGCUUUGCUGGAGACUCGCCUUAAAGUAAUUGGCAGCCGGCCUACUGGUUUCGGAGCGCAGCACAAGUCGCACUCUCUAUCAGCAAAGGUCUAGCAUCCAUUAAGCCUUUUUUUCAACUUUUGACCUCGGAUCAGGUAGGGAUACCCGCUGAACUUAAGCAUAUCAAUAAGCGGAGGAA